rnacentral:tRNA from 1 species
GCCUUCGUAGUGUAGUAGUUAGCACGCUGGACGGGAAUUCCAGAGGUCCGUGGUUCGAGUCCCGGCGAGGGCA